rnacentral:rRNA from 1 species
GACGAACGCUGGCGGCGUGCCUAAUACAUGCAAGUAGAACGCUGAAGGAGGAGCUUGCUUCUCUGGAUGAGUUGCGAACGGGUGAGUAACGCGUAGGUAACCUGCCUGGUAGCGGGGGAUAACUAUUGGAAACGAUAGCUAAUACCGCAUAAGAGUAGAUGUUGCAUGACAUUUGCUUAAAAGGUGCAAUUGCAUCACUACCAGAUGGACCUGCGUUGUAUUAGCUAGUUGGUGGGGUAACGGCCCACCAAGGCGACGAUACAUAGCCGACCUGAGAGGGUGAUCGGCCACACUGGGACUGAGACACGGCCCAGACUCCUACGGGAGGCAGCAGUAGGGAAUCUUCGGCAAUGGACGGAAGUCUGACCGAGCAACGCCGCGUGAGUGAAGAAGGUUUUCGGAUCGUAAAGCUCUGUUGUAAGAGAAGAACGAGUGUGAGAGUGGAAAGUUCACACUGUGACGGUAUCUUACCAGAAAGGGACGGCUAACUACGU